rnacentral:rRNA from 1 species
AUUGAACGCUGGCGGCAGGCUUAACACAUGCAAGUCGAGCGGUAGCACAGGGGAGCUUGCUCCCUGGGUGACGAGCGGCGGACGGGUGAGUAAUGUCUGGGAAACUGCCUGAUGGAGGGGGAUAACUACUGGAAACGGUAGCUAAUACCGCAUAACGUCGCAAGACCAAAGAGGGGGACCUUCGGGCCUCUUGCCCUCAGAUGUGCCCAGAUGGGAUUAGCUAGUAGGUGGGGUAAUGGCUCACCUAGGCGACGAUCCCUAGCUGGUCUGAGAGGAUGACCAGCCACACUGGAACUGAGACACGGUCCAGACUCCUACGGGAGGCAGCAGUGGGGAAUAUUGCACAAUGGGCGCAAGCCUGAUGCAGCCAUGCCGCGUGUGUGAAGAAGGCCUUCGGGUUGUAAAGCACUUUCAGCGAGGAGGAAGGUGGUGAGCUUAAUACGUUCAUCAAUUGACGUUACUCGCAGAAGAAGCACCGGCUAACUCCGUG